rnacentral:rRNA from 1 species
GGCCUCUAGCUUUUACUAGUAUUAAAGGUCCAACCUGCCCAGUGAAAACUUUUCAACGGCCGCGGUAUCCUAACCGUGCAAAGGUAGCGCAAUCACUUGCCCCUUAAAUGAGGGCUAGUAUGAACGGUUUAAUGAGGGUUUAACUGUCUCCUGAAGCCAAUCAAUGAACUUGAUCACUCAGUACAAAUGCUGAGAUAUGACCAUAAGACGAGAAGACCCUGUGGAACUUUAAGUUUUACUUGUUGACCCCCCCCCCAAAAUAUGGCCCUCAACAGGAAACUUCAGUUGGGGCAACUACGGGGUAAAACAAAACCCCCACGAAAAAUAACUAACCAUUAUACAAGCAGGCCCACAAGCCACAUAUAGCUAGCUGUCUGACCCAGUUCAAACUGAUCACCGAACCAAGCUACCCCAGGGAUAACAGCGCUAUCCCCUUUAAGAGUCCAUAUCGCCAAGGGGGUUUACGACCUCGAUGUUGGAUCAGGACACCCCGGCGGUGCAGCCGCUGCCAAAGGUUCGUUUGUUCAACGAAUAAAGUCCU